UUUUUUUUUCGCCUGCGGCGAAAAACAAUCUAUUUUUUCGCGACAAGUCGAAAACAAUUUUUUUUCUUUCAAUUUUAGCAUUACAUAUAGUGGCAGCUGAGGGUGAAACAAACAAUUUUUUUUUCUCAGAAUCAAAAACAAAUUAUUUUUUUCUCCAAAAACUAGAAACAAACUUUUUUUUCCAAAAAAAAACCAUAGCCCCCC
rnacentral:lncRNA from 1 species